rnacentral:sRNA from 1 species
AAGUAAUUAAGCAAUCAAAGGUGGUGAGCAUUCUGGCAAAAGUAAAGAGAUAGUACCCGAGGAUCAAGAAUCGGAGUACUCGAAACUCGAUUUCCAUUACAGCUCAGAAUAGUCAGUAGAUAGCUCACUUUGUUGAGGGC